GUGCUCCCUUCGGCUCCACAUAUACUAAAAUUGGUACGAUACAGAGAAGAUUAGCAUGGCCCCUGCGCAAGGAUGGCAUGCACGUUCCUGAAGUGUUUCCUAUUAAA